GUCUACGCUCUGCCAGCGUCGUUUGCUCUUCCUUGGAUAGGAGAAGCUGAAACGUCGUUUGCCUUUCCUUGAGGGGUUCCGGAUAGGAUAGCCGCACCAUGCAUAUCUUUAGGAGAAUCCGGAUGAUGAUGGUCCGGAUAAUGAUGGUCCGGCUGAUAGCACGUGCCACGCGUCACCAUGAGCUGCGUGCCACGUGUUUCCCAAGGGGAGGGGUCCCUACAUUGCCCCCCUUUUUAACUUGCCCAUUUUGCCAAAAAAUGGGCGGGUUAAAAAUAACUGGGUUUUUGAAAAUUGAAAAAGUCCAUUCGUCUAACUUGGCCACGUGGCGAGUGGGGGUGCGGAAGCCAAAAAAGGCAUUUAUGGCGAGCCGCCGACCCUGUGUAUCCCCAGGCAAUAUGUCGUUUCAAUGAUAACACGGCUGUUGGUUUGGCUUUCCGAGGGGCUGUCCUGCUAUAAAUAGGGCACUGUACCUUUUUUGUAUUUUUUCUACUGCAUUCUCUUGAGAGCCUUCCUUCUUCUUACUUUUUCUCCGUCCUUUGCUUUUCUGAGAAAAACUUCGAACGACCUCGUUUGUUUGUUGCCGGUGAUUUUAUACCGAGAGAGUAACCGUUCUUCUUCUCCAGAGCUCUAUUUGGUACGUACCUCUUUGCUAUUAUCAUUCCUUUGGUUGCGUUUGCCGGUUCUUUAAACUUGGUUCCUGGCUUUGUUUUGAACAAGUCGCUUGCAAUUGUUUGUUUAAUGUUGGUACUUUGUUGUUUGUUUGGAGGGGUUUUUGAGGGGUUUUUCUGACUGCUUUGAGUUUGUGUAUUUUCUGAUUGCUUGGUCUGAACCGUUUGCAUUGUUUUUGCGUGUAGAUUUUGCUUUGGCUUUGUGGUAAGAAAUGGCUCCAAAAAAAACUGUUUCGUCUGUCCGGGUCAGCGAGGCUGG
rnacentral:lncRNA from 1 species